rnacentral:sRNA from 2 species
AGCUCCACCGGGUCGACACCGCGGGUGACGACGAGGUAGUCGCGCAUCACGAUCGAGUGACGCAUCUC